rnacentral:rRNA from 1 species
GACGAACGCUGGCGGCGUGCUUAACACAUGCAAGUCGAACGGAAAGGCCCUGCUUUUGUGGGGUGCUCGAGUGGCGAACGGGUGAGUAACACGUGAGUAACCUGCCCUUGACUUUGGGAUAACUUCAGGAAACUGGGGCUAAUACCGGAUAGGAGCUCCUGCUGCAUGGUGGGGGUUGGAAAGUUUCGGCGGUUGGGGAUGGACUCGCGGCUUAUCAGCUUGUUGGUGGGGUAGUGGCUUACCAAGGCUUUGACGGGUAGCCGGCCUGAGAGGGUGACCGGCCACAUUGGGACUGAGAUACGGCCCAGUCGCCUACGGGAGGCAGCAGUGGGGAAUAUUGCACAAUGGGCGCAAGCCUGAUGCAGCAACGUCGCGUGCGGGAUGACGGCCUUCGGGUUGUAAACCGCUUUCGCCUGUGACGAAGCGUGAGUGACGGUAAUGGGUAAAUAAGCACCGGCUAACUACGUG